GACAGACGGGGAGAGACAGACGCAGCUUGUGCUCUGCUCCAGCCUCAGGAUUUGCUGUCACUUUCCCAGUCUCAGCGUCACAUCUUCAAGUAGCCCCGGCCAUCUGGAGCAGCCUGGAGCAGGGCCAGGCCUGCCUUGCUGGAUAUGAACAGGGCCCCAGGGAUCGAGACCCUGGCGCUGGCAGCAAGGGGCAGUGCUGGAGAAGCACCGUUUAAAACAGAUAGAGCCAGUCGACAGUCUGGAAAAUUCUGCUGAUCAUCGGAUUGUGUAAAGUUGUGGAAGCUUUGGUUCUCAUCAACGCAUACUCAAAACGCAAGCUAUUUCCCGUCAGGGAGAUACUUAAGACAGCGACAGGCUUAGCUAUAAAAGCACCAUUAAUUUGUUCUCUCUUCUGAUGACAGUCCUAUGAAAUAAAUCUAUCAGAGGUCCUGC
rnacentral:lncRNA from 1 species